rnacentral:rRNA from 1 species
UCGAGAAUCAUUCGCAAUGGGCGAAAGCCUGACGAUGCGACGCCGUGUAAACGAUGAAGGCCUUCGGGUUGUAAAGUUCUUUCGCCAAGGAACAAGAGAAGGUAACCAAUAAUUACCUAAUUUGAGGGUACUUGGUAAAGAAGCACCGGCUAACUCCGUGCCAGCAGCUGCGGUAAUACGGAGGGUGCAAGCAUUAAUCGGAUUUACUGGGUGUAAAGAGCGCGUAGGCGGGUAGGCAAGUCAGAUGUGAAAUUCCGGAGCUCAACUCCGGAGCUGCAUUUGAAACUACUUAUCUUGAGGGUGGACGGAGAAAACGGAAUUCCACGUGUAGCGGUGAAAUGCGUAGAUAUGUGGAAGAACACCGGUGGCGAAGGCGGUUUUCUAGUUCAUUCCUGACGCUGAGGCGCGAGAGCAAGGGGAGCAAACAGGAUUAGAUACCCCCGUAGUCC